rnacentral:rRNA from 1 species
GACGAACGCUGGCGGCGUGCUUAACACAUGCAAGUCGAACGGAAAGGCCCUGCUUUUGUGGGGUGCUCGAGUGGCGAACGGGUGAGUAACACGUGAGUAACCUGCCCUCGACUUUGGGAUAACUUCAGGAAACUGGGGCUAAUACCGGAUAGGAGCUCCUGCUGCAUGGUGGGGGUUGGAAAGUUUCGGCGGUUGGGGAUGGACUCGCGGCUUAUCAGCUUGUUGGUGGGGUAGUGGCUUACCAAGGCUUUGACGGGUAGCCGGCCUGAGAGGGUGACCGGCCACAUUGGGACUGAGAUACGGCCCAGACUCCUACGGGAGGCAGCAGUGGGGAAUAUUGCACAAUGGGCGGAAGCCUGAUGCAGCAACGCCGCGUGCGGGAUGACGACCUUCGGGUUGUAAACCGCUUUCGCCUGUGACGAAGCGUGAGUGACGGUAAUGGGUAAAGAAGCACCGGCUAACUACGUG